rnacentral:rRNA from 1 species
ACUCCUACGGGAGGCAGCAGUGGGGAAUAUUGCACAAUGGGCGCAAGCCUGAUGCAGCCAUGCCGCGUGUAUGAAGAAGGCCUUCGGGUUGUAAAGUACUUUCAGCAGUGAGGAAGGUGGGUAUGUUAAUAGCAUACUCAUUUGACGUUAGCUGCAGAAGAAGCACCGGCUAACUCCGUGCCAGCAGCCGCGGUAAUACGGAGGGUGCGAGCGUUAAUCGGAAUUACUGGGCGUAAAGCGCAUGCAGGUGGUUUGUUAAGUCAGAUGUGAAAGCCCGGGGCUCAACCUCGGAAUUGCAUUUGAAACUGGCAAACUAGAGUACUGUAGAGGGGGUAGAAUUUCAGGUGUAGCGGUGAAAUGCGUAGAGAUCUGAAGGAAUACCGGUGGCGAAGGCGGCCCCCUGGACAGAUACUGACACUCAGAUGCGAAAGCU